rnacentral:misc_RNA from 1 species
GGGUAGAGCUCUCAUUUUGUUACAUGAGGCGAUGUCAUUCAAUAUUCAUCUCAAUUUACAACAAAAUAGACUAGAUACAGUCUUAGUCCACUAAACAGUAGAUCAAAGGGAAAUGGAAUAGUCUUAACAUUAUCGAUUAAAUCACCUCGUAGCAGUUCUUGCACUCAUUGAUGUAUGAUAAUUGGUGCUUCUAUCUUUCCUGUAAGAAGUGUAAACAUCAUCAUAUUGAUUAGGUUCGUUUGGAUUGGCUGCGGCUCCAAGUCCUAAUCGUCCAGAGCUAUUCGAUCCAGGUUUCUGCGGAAUACUUCCAUCAGGAUAGGUCCCAGUUUCCGGAUCAACUUGAAGGUUAAGAGGUGGAGGAAUGCAAGCUCCUCCCUUCCGGACAGGAGAGUCUCUCUCAUAGUCAUCGUAAUCGUUGGCUGAUUCAGAUUGUUUAAUAGGUCCUUCUGAUGGAUUCACUUCUCCAAUAUCUCUAAAAAAUUUAGACACCCUUUCAAGAAUUUCAGAUUCUGACACAGUCGAGGGUGGUAUGACGGUGGGAAUAUCCAAGGGGCUCAUGGGAGAGUAAGGCACCCCACUACCAAUCUGCAUCUUCCUGACCAUACCAGGAAUCAGACCAGGAGGGAACAAGGGGUACGGAGGUACUUUUUCACCUACAUUUGCAAUUGAUGCUGGUGUCAGAUGAGCUGCCG